AUCGACCAAGAGUCGGAUUGAUACGGGGGAUGGAUGUCUAAUUAAACGCAACGGACGCGGGACGGACCGGCGUCGGAACGAGUGGCAUCACACAUCAUUUAAUUGAGUGUGACAAUCGGUUCCGGGAUGGAUGUCGUCGCGAUGUCUAACUAAACGCGGCGAACGCGAGAUGGACCGGCUUCGGAACGAGUGGCAUCGCGCCUCAUUUAACUGAAAAUAGCAAACCCGAGACAGGUCAGUUCUGGAACGGAUAUGUCUACUGCGAUUGUUGUAUAUUCUACAACUAAUAUGCAUCGUGUGCAAACACUGACAAAUUAUGAGGAAGUGAUAAAAGUUUGGAAACUCAAAAAGCGAAGGAGAUCUAGAAAAGGGAUCAAGUAUCGGUGAGACA
rnacentral:lncRNA from 13 species